UCCUUCAGUUACUGCCACUGAGUCUGGUGAGCAUCUAGCCAGGGUCCUUGGUGGGAGGGCUAGAGCCCUGUUCUCAGCAAUGUUGGUGAUUCCUGUUCUUCACAGAGGACCUGGGAAGAGACACUUGGUCAGAGAGCAAUGAGAAGAAACCAUGACAGUGUGGUGAACUUGUGCAGAGAUGUCCAACCAGCAAAACCAGCAGCUGCAUCAUCCCCUUCCUAAAUACACUGAGAGUCUUCCCAAGUGCCCUUCUCAGGCUCCCACUCCAGUUUCUUCCUGCUGGAACUCUAACUCUGGAGGAUAUGGCAGAUCUGGCUCUGGAGGACCAUACAGCCCAUUUUCCCACUGGAGGAGGAAAUCCAUCCGACGCCGCCCCCAAAGUUCUGACUGUGGUGACAGUGGGCAGAGUCAGAAGUCUGGGACAUGUGGAGGAUGUGGUGGCAGCUUUGGGGGAUGCUACUGACUUAGUUCUCUCAGCCUGCAAGAGCAGUCAAUGAUCCUCCCCAGCCUACUGCUUCUCUUUUUUUCCCCAUCCUCUUUCUUUAACCUUCUUCCUUACUCUUUGGGUUUAAGAUGCUAAGAGAUUCCAAUAAGGAGUUCAAAGCUUUCUGCCAAGGUAUUUAUUCCAUGCAGCUAUCUUGGAAUGCAAGUCAACUUCAUCAUCUGUGCCUUUCUGAAACUCUCCCUCAGAUAUAUCUUUUGGAAUUGUACUUUAUUCUGUAAAACAAUAAAAUUUCUUCUUAUUGCUAUCAA